rnacentral:tRNA from 1 species
GAGGGUAGAGCUCAGUGGUAGAGCGCGUGUUUAGUGUGCACGAGGUCCUGUGCUCAAUCCCCAGUACCUCCA